rnacentral:rRNA from 1 species
AGUGAGCGGGAUGAGCUCAAAUUUAAAAUCUGGCUGGUUUACUAGUCCGAAUUGUAGUUUAAAGAAGUGUUUUCGGUGGCAGCCUGGGUAUAAAUCCUUUGGAACAGGGUAUCAUAGAGGGUGAGAAUCCCGUCUUUGACUCAGUGCAUGCUACUAUGUGAUACAUUUUCAAAGAGUCGAGUUGUUUGGGAAUGCAGCUCAAAAUGGGUGGUAAAUUUCAUCUAAGGCUAAAUAUUGGCGAGAGACCGAUAGCGAACAAGUACCGUGAGGGAAAGAUGAAAAGAACUUUGAAAAGAGAGUUAAACAGUGCGUGAAAUUGUUGAAAGGGAAACGCUUGACACCAGUCAUGCGAGCGGAAAAUCAGUCUUUUGCAGUGGGGGGUUGUGUGGGAUCGGACCGCAAGGCCGGCCUAUGCUGCAUCUCUGCUGUAAGUGAUGCACUUUUUCGUUUGCAGGCCAACAUCAGUUUCUUCUGCUGGACAAAACUCUUGAGAAGGUAGCAGCUUUGGCUGUGUUAUAGCUCUUGAGCGAUACAGUGGAGGGGACUGAGGUUUUCGCAGCGCGUGCUUUCGGGCAAGGCUGAUUGGGUGCUAUGGGAUCGUUCGGUGUACAAUGCAUGCAUUUUGCGCCGUGUCUUUUCUGUACUCGCUCAACUCGGCUCUUCCGCGCUUAGGAUGUUGGCUUAAUGGUUUUAAUCGACCCGUCUUG